UGACUCAACCAGAAGACGGUUAGGCUAACCGCAAGGGAGCCGUUGUCGAAGGUGGGGUUGGUGACUGGGGUGAAGUCGUAACAAGGUAGCCGUAGGUGAACCUGCAGAGGAUCA
rnacentral:rRNA from 1 species